rnacentral:rRNA from 1 species
GACGAACGCUGGCGGCGUGCUUAACACAUGCAAGUCGAGCGGAGCGGCGAACGGGUGAGUAACGCGUGAGUAACUGCCCCCCUCUCUGGGAUAACAGUUGGAAAAGGCUGCUAAUACCGGAUAGUUGGGGAUGACUCGCGUCCUAUCAGCUUGUUGGUGGGGUAGUGGCCUACCAAGGCGACGACCGGUAGCCGGCCUGAGAGGGCGACCGACCACAGUGGGCUGGGAUACGGCCCAACCUCCUGCGGGAGGCAGCAGUUGGGAUUAUUGCACAAUGGGGGAAACCCUGAUGCAGAAACGCCGCGUGCGGGAUGACGGCCUUCGGGUUGUAAAGUACUUUCAGCGAGGAUGGUUAAUAACCGCAGCAAUUGACGUUACUCGCAGAAGAAGCACCGGCUAACUCCGUGCCAGCAGCCGCGGUAAUUC